AUGGCAGGGCUUGGCAUUGGAGCACCAAUCGUGAAGGUGUAUCAUGAGAAAUCUAUAAUCUUACCGGAUGUGUCAAGGGUGCUUGCAUGCCUGUAUGAGAAGGGAAUCGACUUUGAGAGAGAGACAUUCUCCUCUUACAAGAGCCUACUCAGACUUCAGGCAUCGAGCCAUGUUCCAGUUCCAUUCUAUGAUGGACCUAAUAAAUUCCUAGAAGAAUCAAGAGAAAUCUGCCGCCAUAUAGCAGAGACUUAUGAAGAUCACGGAUACCCAUUUCUCCUUGGGAAGGAUUCCCUUGAGAGGGCUUCCAUCGAGGAAUGGCUCCACCAUGAAGAGCAUAAUUUCAACCCUCCGAGCAGAUCCUUGUUCUGCCACUUGGCCUUUCCCGUUGCUGAAGAAGAUGAUGAUAUAGACUUGCAGACGAGAAAGCUAGAAGAUGUUCUGGAAGUUUAUGAGCAAAGGCUUGGUGACAGUGAAUUCCUUGCUGGCAACAAGUUCACUCUUGCCGACCUAGUACACCUGCCAAACUCCUACCACAUCACAAAUUCUGAAAAGUUUCUGUACCUAUAUGAUUCAAGAAAGAAUGUGCAGAGGUGGUGGCAUGCUAUUUCUAGCCGGGGUUCUUGGCAGAAGGUGCUGAAGGUUAUGCACGAGGUGGAGCGGCAGAACAAACAAGAGGAACUUGACAAACAGCAGCAGCGCAAACAACAGCAUCCUCCAACCAGCAGACCCCAGUUUCGUCUACACUCACGGGAGCAACCCAGCACAAAACCUCACACGAUAUUGGUUCCUCCCCCUGUUAGUAUCAUCGCAGCAUCUCCCACGACUCCUCAAGCAGAGGAGCCUCAUCCU
rnacentral:rRNA from 1 species